rnacentral:misc_RNA from 1 species
CCAAAUCAACGGCCGAAAGGCCUUGCCCUAGGGGGGAAACCCCCGACGGUAAACCCUUUGUGAAAACCCUUCGUUUGCCUCGGCGGCACCUUUUAGUUAAGGGUCAGCCCGCCGACGGCACCAACCAAAACUCUUGUUUGAAUUGAAGAAUGUCUGAAUCAAUGGUCGAAUGACUAUA